rnacentral:piRNA from 1 species
UAAGGGCUAACACUAUGUUUGACAUACGCUU